UGGGGAAUUAACUAUUAGUAGUAAUUGCAAAAGCAGAAAGCAGCAGAUACUGAUACUUCAUAGCACAUACUCUGUUGAUGAAAACGGGAGGUCUUGAGUUACUUGAAAUUUCAAGCAAGUAGUCUUGGCUUUUACAUUAAAAAGUUGUUCAUUAGAAGUACUGUACUGAACUGAUUAGUCAGGCUAAGGCAAAUCUGGCAGACAAAGAUCACAGAAAUUAGCAAUAAAAAGAACAUGUGGAAAGGAAAUUAGCAUACUUCAACCUAUAAGCAUAUUUAAGAAGAAUUAAAUGGCCUAGGGCCACAAAGUGUACACAGGCAUAAGCCAUAUAUGUUGCAUUUAUAUGUCUGUGUCUUUUGUAGUUUUGAAGAGCAUUCAAAGAGAAGCCACUUAUUCACGUGGCUUCAUGUGAAUUCACGUAUAGGCACUUACAAUAUUUAAUCCAGUGACUUGAAUGUAGUAGAUACUCAGUGAAUCAACAAUUUAAAAAAAAGUGAAUUGACAAGUUCAAUGACAAGAAACCAGGUAAGUAAAAUUUGUUAUAGUUACUUGGAACAUUAAACAGCUAUUUGUUUAAAAGACUGUGUUAACAUGGAAAGCUGUUUGUGAUAUAGUGUUAGCUAAAAUAUGAAUAUACAGUAAUGCUAUAACAAUAGAAAAAACAUUUGAAUAAUAUAAGACAGAACAUAUCUAUAGCAAAAUGUUAAAAUGGGACUUCAGGAGGUUCAACUAUGGGUAUUCUUAUGUCUCUUCUCUAAUUUUUCUUUAUCAACAUAUGUUUCUUAAUACUAUAAUUUGGUAUAUCUGUGGAAUUGGCAGGAAAUGCUAUAGAGGUUGAUGAAUUGCUUUGUGAUAGCUCAUGUAUGUCUGACAUACUAAGUCAUGUUGCUAUCUAACUGCUAGAGCCUGCAAACAAGAAGACCAUUUAGAAGAUAAUUUAUGAUAGUUUCUAUAUUAGCCAAGAUCAUGUUUAGCUACACAUAACAGAAAACACUUUAACCAAAUUGGGGUUUUUCAGACAUAACAAGACGUCCAGGGGUAGCCAGUCUAGGACUGCUGCAGCAGCUUCCAGAUGAUACGAAUGACCCAGACUCCUUCUAUCUUUCUGCUCCAGCAUCCCUAGCUUAUGGAUUCCAUCUUCAUAUUUUCCACAUCACGUUCUCCUUUAUUCUCAUCAUGAGGCUCCAUUUUCAUCCUCAUGAGGAUAUGCCUAUUCCAUUAUCUUCCAGGGGUCACAUCUGAGGUGGACAUUGUGGAGAAACCUUUUCCGGAGCGGUAACACUUUAGCAGUCUGAGGAGCCUAGAUCCAAAAGUGGUGAGUCAAGAAUCUGGUGCCACUCUUCCCUUUG
rnacentral:lncRNA from 1 species